rnacentral:tRNA from 1 species
UUAUUCGUAGUUAAAUUAAUAACAUUAAAUUGCAAUUUUAAAAUUGAAAUUAAUCUGAAUAGA